UACGGAGGGGGCUAGCGUUAUUCGGAAUUAUUGGGCGUAAAGGGCGUGUAGGCGGCUCUGUGUGUCCCAUGUGAAAGCCCUCGGCUCAACCGGGGAACUGCAUGGGAAACUGCGGAGCUUGAGUCCGGGAGAGGUGAGUGGAAUUCCCAGUGUAGCGGUGAAGUGCGUAGAUAUUGGGAGGAACACCAGUGGCGAAGGCGGCUCACUGGACCGGUACUGACGCUGAGACGCGAAAGCCAGGGGAGCAAACGGG
rnacentral:rRNA from 1 species